CCACCCAACGGGUAUCCAUAUGAGGGCACAAGGCGAGACCCAGAUGCAGACACGGGAGGCAGAUGGUUUGAGUCUUUGAUAUUUAUUAAUAAUCCAAAAACAGUAGGCGAGAGUAUAGCCGUGGUCAGGCAAAAAAGGUCAAAACCAGUUCAGAGUCCAGGAGGUACAGAGUGGCAGGCAGGCUCGAGGUCAGGGCAGGUAAAACAGGUUGGCAGGCUCGAGGUCAGGGCAGGUAAAACAGGUUGGCAGGCUCGAGGUCAGGGCAGGUAAAACAGGCUGGCAGGCUCGAGGUCAGGGCAGGUAAAACAGGUUGGCAGGCUCGAGGUCAAGGCAGGUAAAACAGGUUGGCAGGCUCGAGGUCAGGGCAGGUAAAACAGGCUGGCAGGCUCGAGGUCAGGGCAGGUAAAACAGGUUGGCAGGCUCGAGGUCAGGGCAGGUAAAACAGGUUGGCAGGCUCGAGGUCAGGGCAGGUAAAACAGGUUGGCAGGCUCGAGGUCAAGGCAGGUAAAACAGGUUGGCAGGCUCGAGGUCAAGGCAGGUAAAACAGGUUGGCAGGCUCGAGGUCAGGGCAGGUAAAACAGGCUGGCAGGCUCGAGGUCAGGGCAGGUAAAACAGGUUGGCAGGCUCGAGGUCAGCGCAGGUAAAACAGGCUGGCAGGCUCGAGGUCAGGGCAGGCAGAAUGGUCAGGCAGGCUCGAGGUCAGGGCAGGCAGAAUGGUCAGGCUGGCGGGUACAGAGUCCAGAAAACAGGGUCAAGGGUCAAAACCGGGAGGACUAGAAAAAGAGAACAGAAAAGGCAGGAGCACGGGAAAACCGCUAGUGGACUUGGAAACAUACAAG
ensembl:lncRNA